rnacentral:rRNA from 1 species
GUCCUGGCCGUAAACGAUGGAUACUAGGUGUCGGGGGUAUCGACCCCUCCGGUGCCGCAGCUAACGCAAUAAGUAUCCCGCCUGGGGAGUACGGCCGCAAGGUUGAAACUCAAAGGAAUUGACGGGGGCCCGCACAAGCGGUGGAGCAUGUUGUUUAAUACGUCACUAACCGUAGAACCUUACCAGGGCUUGACAUCCGUCGACCGCCUCGGAAACGGGGUUUUCUCCGCAAGGGGACGGCGAGACAGGUGUUGCAUGGCUGUCGU